rnacentral:rRNA from 1 species
CCUAGGGAGGCUGCAGUGGGGAAUAUUGCACAAUGGGCGCAAGCCUGAUGCAGCCAUGCCGCGUGUGUGAAGAAGGCCUUCGGGUUGGAAAGCACUUUCAGCGGGGAGGAAGGCGGUGAGGUUAAUAACCUCAUCGAUUGACGUUACCCGCAGAAGAGGCACCGGCUAACUCCGUGCCAGCAGCCGCGGUAAUACGGAGGGUGCAAGCGUUAAUCGGAAUUACUGGGCGUAAAGCGCACGCAGGCGGUCUGUCAAGUCGGAUGUGAAAUCCCCGGGCUCAACCUGGGAACUGCAUUCGAAACUGGCAGGCUAGAGUCUUGUAGAGGGGGGUAGAAUUCCAGGUGUAGCGGUGAAAUGCGUAGAGAUCUGGAGGAAUACCGGUGGCGAAGGCGGCCCCCUGGACAAAGACUGACGCUCAGGUGCGAAAGCGUGGGGAGCAAACAGGAUUAGAUACCCUUGUAGUC